rnacentral:rRNA from 1 species
GACGAACGCUGGCGGCGUGCCUAAUACAUGCAAGUAGAACGCUGAAGGAGGAGCUUGCUUCUCUGGAUGAGUUGCGAACGGGUGAGUAACGCGUAGGUAACCUGCCUGGUAGCGGGGGAUAACUAUUGGAAACGAUAGCUAAUACCGCAUAAGAGUAGAUGUUGCAUGACAUUUGCUUAAAAGGUGCAAUUGCAUCACUACCAGAUGGACCUGCGUUGUAUUAGCUAGUUGGUGGGGUAACGGCUCACCAAGGCGUCGAUACAUAGCCGACCUGAGAGGGUGAUCGGCCACACUGGGACGGAGACACGACCCAGACUCCUACGGGAGGCAGCAGUAGGGAAUCUUCGGCAAUGGACGGAAGUCUGACCGAGCAACGCCGCGUGAGUGAAGAAGGUUUUCGGAUCGUAAAGCUCUGUUGUAAGAGAAGAACGAGUGUGAGAGUGGAAAGUUCACACUGUGACGGUAUCUUACCAGAAAGGGACGGCUAACUACGUG